rnacentral:rRNA from 1 species
AUUGAACGCUGGCGGCAGGCUUAAUACAUGCAAGUCGAACGGUAGCAUGAGAAAGCUUGCUUUCUUGAUGACGAGUGGCGGACGGGUGAGUAAUGCCUGGGAAGCUGCCUGAAUGAGGGGGAUAACACCUGGAAACGGGUGCUAAUACCGCGUAUACCCUGAGGGGGAAAGACCGGAUACGGUCACAUUCAGAUGCGCCCAGGUGGGAUUAGCUAGUUGGUGGGGUAACGGCCUACCAAGGCGACGAUGCGUAGGGGUUCUGAGAGGAAGGUCCCCCACACUGGUACUGAGACACGGACCAGACUCC